rnacentral:rRNA from 1 species
UACGUAGGGGGCGAGCGUUGUCCGGAAUCAUUGGGCGUAAAGCGCGCGUAGGCGGCCCGGUAAGUCCGCUGUAAAAGUCCAGGGCUCAACCCUGGAAAGCCGGUGGAUACUGUCGGGCUAGAGUCCGGAAGAGGCGAGUGGAAUUCCUGGUGUAGCGGUGGAAUGCGCAGAUAUCAGGAGGAACACCGGUGGCGAAGGCGGGUCUCUGGGCAGUAACUGACGCUGAGAAGCGAAAGCGUGGGGAGCGAACAGG